AUGCCCAGUGAUUAUAAAAAGACGCGUUAUUGUGAGGGGAAAAAUACUAGAACCAGUUUCUUUCUCUUCAUUCUAGCCUUUUAUUCACCGCUUUUUCCUAGUCCCACUUCUCUUCCUUUACCCCCACCCUAACUUCACUUCUUUCAACUGGAAGACCUAGUAUCCGCUGAACGUGAUUAUGAGAUAUGAGGGCAU